AGCGAACGCUGGCGGCGGGCUUAACACAUGCAAGUUGAUCGCCCUGCAAGGGGAGCGGCAGACGGGAGAGUAACACGUGGGAACAUACCUUUUGGUUCGCAACAACUGAUGGAAACUUCAGCUAAUACCGGAUAAGCCCUUACUGGGAAAAAUUUAUCGCCGAAAAAUUGGCCCGCGUCUUAUUAGCUAGUUGGUGAGGUAACGGCUAACCAAAACGAUAAUCAGUAGCUGGACUGAGAGGAUGAUCAAACUAACUGGGACUGAGACACGGCCCAGACACCAACAGGAGGAAGAAGUAGGGAAUAUUGGACAAGGAGGCAACCCUGAUCCAGACAAGCCGUGUGAGGGAUAAGGAACAUAGGGUUGUAAAGCACGUUUGACAGCGAAGAUAAUAACAGUACCGGGAGAGUAGGCCCAAGGUAACUUCGUG
rnacentral:rRNA from 1 species